GCUAAUACCGGAUAGUUCCUUGAACCGCAUGGUUCAAGGAUGAAAGACGGUUUCGGCUGUCACUUACAGAUGGACCCGCGGCGCAUUAGCUAGUUGGUGAGGUAACGGCUCACCAAGGCGACGAUGCGUAGCCGACCUGAGAGGGUGAUCGGCCACACUGGGACUGAGACACGGCCCAGACUCCUACGGGAGGCAGCAGUAGGGAAUCUUCCGCAAUGGACGAAAGUCUGACGGAGCAACGCCGCGUGAGUGAUGAAGGUUUUCGGAUCGUAAAGCUCUGUUGUUAGGGAAGAACAAGUGCAAGAGUAACUGCUUGCACCUUGACGGUACCUAACCAGAAAGCCACGGCUAACUACGUGCCAGCAGCCGCGGUAAUACGUAGGUGGCAAGCGUUGUCCGGAAUUAUUGGGCGUAAAGGGCUCGCAGGCGGUUUCUUAAGUCUGAUGUGAAAGCCCCCGGCUCAACCGGGGAGGGUCAUUGGAAACUGGGAAACUUGAGUGCAGAAGAGGAGAGUGGAAUUCCACGUGUAGCGCUGAAAUGCGUAGAGAUGUGGAGGAACACCAGUGGCGAAGGCGACUCUCUGGUCUGUAACUGACGCUGAGGAGCGAAAGCGUGGGGAGCGAACAGGAUUAG
rnacentral:rRNA from 1 species